UUUGUCUCUAAGUGUUAAAUUAUGAUUUAUAGGUAAACUGCAGUGAAGGCAAUUCCAGUUUAACUUUGAGCUCUUCAUGCAGAAGUAUUCUUAAUGGAAGGCUACAAUGAACUGGCUGUUUAAGAGAGAUUAUAAUGGACAAAAGGAAAAUAUGCAGGUGGAACCCACCAGGCACCUCUGCCAUCUGAACCCCCAACAUACGGCAGUGCUUUCCCUUCUGCAAAGCAGUGGCUGCUUGCAGGAAUCACCUCAGACCUUUUCCAGCUGAAAUACAAAGAGAGCCAUCUGGCCCGGACAUCCCUGGCAAUUGGAGGAACCCUGCAAUGUUUCCACAAUAUGAACAAAGUGUAAAGAUAGGCAGGUUGCAAACUCCUUGGAGCUGGCAUGGGGGAAGACCUUUUUACUUGUGAGACACUGUUAAACAGGCUACUUGUAUAAUCCCAGCUUCUCCCAAGGCCUCUGCUGGAGCAAAGGUCCAAUCUGGAAGCAGCGUCCUGCUAUGUUAACAGAUGGACAUGAGUAAGGCAGCCAAAAGACCAGAGAAAAAUAGAUUCUUGCAGAGAAGUUACAGAAAAGGAGUUCAUCAAAACUGAAGGAUGUAGACAGCUGUUAACAAGUUUGUAGACUGCAGUGAGGAGACGUAAUUAUAACAUAACUGCACAUAAACAGGGAACUAGGAUUAAGAUUUCAGCAACAGAAAAGCAGGUUGUUGUUGUUGUUUUUUUUUUCUAAUGUGAGUCACCAACAGGCAUCUACUGUUUUUUGUGAAAGCAGGUUCAUUACCCUCCAUGGACAACACUGUGUCUUGUCA
rnacentral:lncRNA from 1 species